UUGUGAGGAGAAAGCUCAUGAUUUCCUGCAGCUGUUUCCUCAAAUAAACCUCUACAUUAAUUCUUCCUCUACUUUCACCUAUUUCAUAUUUGUUUUGCAAGAGUACGCAGUUGUAGGCAUACCAGUGUGAGGUGUCUUUCCUUGGAGAACCAGCCCCACUCUUCCCUCUGGCUGCAGCUUUCCUCACCUCAGUGAGCAGAUACCACAACCUUUCUGUUCUUGCUAUGAAUAUUCUAGCCAUCACUUUCAUUUACAAAAAACAAACAAAAAAACCAUCUUUGAGAUAAAGCAUCAUUUCAGCUUGCCGUAAAGAAGAGGAUAACAUUUUAAAGAACAGUUAACUGUAUUGCAAAAAUUUUCCGUUGUUGGAGCCUAAUGCUGCUGGACCAGACACUUUCCUGCUUUUCUGACUCUUAAGAAAUAUCUUGCUAUUACAGCUUGUAAUAUUUAAAAAAAAAAAUUGGUUUGUUUUCUUUAUGCAGAAAAGAAGGCAAGACAGCUUUCUUCAAGGAAUUCAGUUGAAUUUCUUAGUAUUAAGGAUAUAGCCAAAUUUCUUGGGGGGAGGAAGGGAGGCUGGGAACAGCAAGACUUUGCCUAGAAAAUGCUUCACAGCUUAAAAAUAUAGUCAUAAGAGUUUCAAUUUGGAAAACCAGUGACCCAUCAGCAUUUCCACAUGUUACUUCUUCAUAAUUUGGAAAUAUGCUGGAAGUAUAAAAUGUUACUGCCUAGGCACCUUUGAACUGUUGCAAGCCACAUUAUUACCUGAGUAAAAAGGUAACAAAACCCACCUAUUUGUAUGCAGGAAUAGCUACUCUUUUGGAUGAGGAGGUUUCUGAAAAGUUAUCAUAGCCUUACAGAUACACAGAGAUAUUGGGAUUAUGGGAGAGGUACCUUGACUGAUGAACUGGGACUGAAGCAAACAACAAGUAUACAAAUGAUCUGGAAUUAAUUUUACAUGGAAUCUUUGAUUAAUAACAACUCCAACUUAAACACUUAGUUUCUAGCAUAAUAUUGGAAUUUGCUUUUGUGUGCGUGUGUGUUGUUACUUUUUUUUUUCCAUUUGUUUGAUUUUUGAUGGGGAAAACAUGAUAUUCUAUGAAUAUCUCCUUUAAAAGACUCCAACUUUUCAUUUUACUUGCAGCUUUCUCAAAGGAAAAAUGUCUGUCCUACAUGGUAAUUCCCACACUCCUACAGUGAGCAUAUAACACAAGGAAGUGUCUCAGAGACAAAUACACGAAUUCUUGGUAAAAAUAUCUGAGAAAUAAUUAAGAACAUUGUUUAAUUAAUUUUGCUGUACACUAAUGGUGUGGGAGAUUGCAAAGUGUGCAGAAAGACAAGAUGAAACUUGGGAAUUCUGAUCUUUAACAAGCUCAUCUAGUUAGUUUUUAGUAUUGCUGGAAAGUGAAAGGCUGCUGGCCCUGUGACUGCAGGUUUUUGGUGUAUCACACCUCUGGCAUCUUUCUCAUCUUUACCGAAUAAAAAUAGAAUAAACAGUAUUUCUUUGACAUUGUGGGCCAUUGUGCUUCAGUGCCAUCCUACUAUAGGGUACCAGUUUAAUUUUUGCCUCUUCUCAUGAAACAAGUAAACUUUCACAUACUUUACAAUUAGCUUUUACAGGAUUUUUCCCACACUUCCCAUUCAUUUUUUCUCCAUGAGAUGUGCACUCAAAUCCUUUAAAGAUCUUCUGGUAUAGGCUACUACUGAUCCUUCUCCUUAGACUGGUGCUGUUAAACAUGUCUUGCAGAACCUCAAAACAUUUGUAUGCAGAGCUGGUUUCUCAUAAAAAUAAGUCAUUGGAUAAUAUUUGCAAAUGUAUGUCUUUUCUCUUAAUAACAUGACUUAUCUCUAGAAACUGGCAUUUGCUUUCUAAUGGAGUCUAUUUAUUUAUCAGAGCUGUUAGUACGGUGUCAUAAAACUGUGAGAUUCCAUGGAUGAUUUGGCAACUCAUUCGAGCUAGUUAGUGGGGAGUUUUUAGCCACUACCAAGUAUGAUGCAAUGUGGACACUUCUAGGGUUCUAAUCCUUGUGGUUGUUUGCUUAGUAAAAAAAUUUCUACCAGCUAGACUGAUUGCUUUUUCAUGCCUUAAAUCAAACAUACCUGGAGGCCUCAAGAUGAGAAAAACAAAUAUUUGAACAACACUGUUUGCAGGGUUCUCCUUAGUUGGGUUCCUUUCUGACACUUUCAUUUUCCUGCCUGGGCACUUUUCAGAAACUUAAAAGGGAUACACAGAGAUCAAUGAUACCUGAAAGCUAUAUGAGAGAGCCUAUUAGUCAGUGCUUGAGAGAUGUAAGAGGAGAUUAUGAGCAUGAACAGGAUACCCUUUCAAAGAACAAAAAUAGAAAUAAAGUGUGAGGGCAAAAAUUUGCGCAAUGUAUAAUAAAAAGGUUUAACAAUCAGUUCCUAUUUAUUCCCUGGUUUGAGAAAAAAUCUGGUCUUACAGAAAGCACUUUAAAUUGUAUUUUCACUGAAAUUAAGAAAGGUAAAACUCUCACUCUCAGUCUCACCAUAGAUAGUGAGGAAAAGCAUUUAUAUACAGUGGGAAAAAAGAAGCAGGCAUAAUUUCAUUGUUGCAUUUUUGCUGUUAUUGUUAACUGGAUGGCAUUUUUACUGGAACACAAAUGCAGAAGGUAUCUCUUUGGGCCAUUGGGUCUAGACCUGUGCUGUUGCAGACCAUAUCAAUAUGCGUAUAAUACCCUCUACAGGUAAGUGAGAGAAAUCAAUCAAAAAAGCUACAAGAAGUCUUUUGUUUCUUAGUUCGUUUUUCUCAAAAUUUAAUUUCUGAAAUGAUUAGAGAGCCUUUAUCUAAUUUCCAGGCUAAAUUUCUCUUUAUCUUUUCUUACUAGAGAGCCAUACUCCCCACUAUAUAUACUGUAAAAGGAUUAAAUUGACAGAGGGAUAUUGUUACAAUUUGCGAAUCCAGUUAAAUUCUCCAGAGCAGGGAAAUAGUGUGCCAAUACAAAUAUUUGCACUGUACUAAAAAUUAAUGUAUGUGGAAGAACAUAAAUUGAGUAAUUCAGUGUGAGCUUUUAAGACUUCCACAUGAUUUUUAUGUCUCACUUGAAGAACACAAAAAGAUACGUCAGUAGAGAUCUCUGACAAUGCAACCAGACACAUUGCUCCCAAGCUGUAGAUUAUAUUUAAGAGGUCAUAGUGAGAGAAAUCUUUUUCUUUUCCUGUUACAUUAUUUUCAUUCAUAAAAAGCCUAUAUAAAUCUACUAGCUCUAAAGAGGCUAUCAAAUGAACUGUAAAUAGUUUUGAAGAGCUGUAUGCAUGUAAUCACAUUUAUACAUAUGAGUGUUCACCUUGUGAUAUCAGAAUGGCCAAAUCCUGCACAGACUCUGCUUCUCUCACCAGCCAUGCAGGAACAGAAGAUCAAGGAAAUUCUCAUCUGUGUGACAGACACUUCUGUAGACUUAAAGGGAACCCAAAUCUAUUUCUGGAAGAGGCACCAUAGUCCCCAGUACAGGCUAGGCUUUCUGUAAGGGCUUCCUCAAAGCUUCCUUUCCUACUUCAAGGAAAAUGUGUCAUGGAAUAUGGUGUCACUCUACUGCUCUCAUGCUGUCCAGAGGCAAAUGAGGCAUUGCACUACUGUUUCUACCAAGGCAAAAAAAAAUACACUGAGGAAUAUUGCAGAAAAUGGAUCCUUGCUCUACAGAAAACUGACAGGCAGAAGGGAAGACAGGUGACAGCUUUGAAUUAAUUUCUGCCACACGUGGAAGCAGGCUGCAGGUUAUUAUAUAUUUCACAUUUGCAUGUGGCAACAAAUGUGCUGCAUAUAUGGAAAGUAUAUACGAAAUAAUUUCUCAGGUAACUGGGUGAUCUGGUCACUGAGCCUAUGUCAUACAUUUUAAACAUUUUCCUACUUUGUACUAGUUCUUAUCUAUUUUUAUGUCAUUAAGAUAUCCCAAGAGUGCCCCACCUUUUGUAGAUAGUCAUAUUUGUCUGACAACAUAGUACAGAGUAUCCCAGCCACAGACUGUGUGCUGCAGUGCAGGAUGAAUUCCUGAAGAAGGAGAAUUUCCAUACAUGUGAGAAUUAUAUUCUGUAAGGCAACCUGUGUUGUUAAGGUCUGCAAAGCACAUUUGUCUCUUGGGAAUCCUUGCUCAUUCUUGUUAUUUCCAGAUCUGAAUUUAGGAAAUUUAGAAGUUUAAAGCCACAGCAAUUUGUCACCACAAAAAGGCUGUGGCAGAUCUUAAUCCCAACAAAUAGGUUAUGAAAGCUGGUCUGGUUUUGCUCCAACUCUUUCAUUAUCACUAUCAGUAAAGUUUAUGGAACAAUUACUGAUUCAUACCCUGUUCAGUGUCACAGAUCUCGACCAGAGGGACUUAACUGAUUGUCUCCAAAAAGACUGUGCUAUAUGAAUCUAGAAGCAUUUUUGGAAGCUUGAUUAAGAAAUGGAAUAAGCCUGUACAUCUUAAGCAGACGCUGCUUUGAAGGAAAGCAGCAAAGCACAAAUGUGACUAAAAUUUUUCUAUCAACCUUCAGGCAAAUUCCAGUCAGAAGGACAAGUGCUGCCUUGUCCAUACCUCCUCUUUCUCCUCUCUAAAGCGUUCAUGCAAGUAUAGAUUUGUUUAUACAGAUAGCUACAAAGAGACAUAUUUACUAAAGCAAGAAAAUUCUACUCUACAUCUAGAGUAAUUAUUGUUCUUUGUAAUUUUUGUUACCUGCCUUUUCUCUUGCCUAUAAAGUUGCUACCAUUCAUAUGAGAUGAAAAAGAACAAUCCACAUGGAGUCAGUUAGAAACAACAAAGAACAGUGAGCAGACAAGUUAAUCUUAUAUGCUUUCCAAUAUAUUAUAUUUGCUUGGUAAUUAUUUAGUCAAUAUCUUGACAAAAUCAAGUAGGUCUCUGCAUUAUUCCCAAACAGAGGAAGGUUUAGUUGUGUUAUAAAGACAAUGAAAACUUUGAUGAUAGUGAUGAAAAAUACAGUUUGACAAAAAACAUGCUUAUUAAGUUUCUGGUAAUUUUGUUAAUAUUUUUCUGUAACAGGGCAAAACAGAAAAAAACAACAGUAUUCACAGCAAUCUUAAGGAGGUUUGACAGUCAUUGAUCUUGUAUUAAUGCUAUGGUAAUAGGAACUUCUACAGGGUAAAAAUGGUUGCAAAGAGGGAGCUAUUGAUGCUCAUAUAUAAAGCAUAAUAGAAAGUCUCAUCUCUCUAAGACGUCUAUUGUCAGUGAUUAAAUGUGGAGGGGAAGAGUCAAGCAGAUAUCUGCCAGUCUAUACCGACUUGCACACAGCUAUACUUCAGAUCUGAAAAAUAGUCUGGAAAAUGUUUUAACAGAAUAGUUAAAAAAUAACCAGCUAUGAUGCAAGCAUAUCCCUAGCCUAACAAUAUGAAGGAUUUGAAGGAUGGACAGUUUGUUGGAUAAGGAAAUGGUUGGAAGGUUGCAGCCAAAAUGUUGUUGUCAAUGUCUCUAUGUCCAGGUGGAGACUGGCGUCCUCAAGUGCAGCAUUUCCAGUCCCUGGAGAGACCAAUAGGUCCUAUCUGUCCGCUGGAAUGCCUGCAUUUUAUUAAAGUCUAUUAGAUGUGAAAAAAGCAAGUCACACGAGUACUGUAAAUCAGAUUAUUUCCUCUACACCAUUUAUUCAGACUUAUUUAGAGGACAGUAGGCAGAUUUGUGUAGACAAAGCAUUCUGUAAAGAAAAAAGCAUUGUGUCCUACUUCGGGUCCCUGAUUUGAGAGGGACCUGGAUGAGGUUGGACUCUAUUGAAAUAAUUUGUUAAUAUUGUCCUACUCCAAUAUUGUAGAAAUGGGUUGGAUUUUGAUGGACAGAGUUGCCCCUUUUCCCAGCCUUGUUAGUGCUCUCUGUUCCCCCUUCACUUGUUUCCAGCUGGAAAGAAAGGGAGCAGGAACCCAGUACUGAAACCAGUGCUGUUGAUGUUUUUUUAGAAUUUCCCCAUUUAUAUUCCUCUGGGUGAUUUGGAAGCCCAUGACAUCUAGUCCACAAUUUUGAAGAAAGAUAUCAUUUUGAUAAUGUAGGUGUGGGGAACGCGGCAAGCAAGUGUGUAAUAUGUGAAAUUCUCUGUCAGUACUAAAGCAACCAUAAGCAUUUGAAAGUGAAUAGCCUCUUUUGAACAGCUGUAUGGAUGACCUCAAGUGACUAGAUAUAAAGACGUGCAGUUUGAGGCAAAAAGAAUUCCAGGAGCUUGGGAUGUUGCAGACAGCUCUGCCUCAAUAUCUAGAUGCUCUUUUGAGCUGACAGUGAGACUGAAGAGGCCUGUAAUAAAGAGCUUGACUAUUUAUAUUUGGGCUAACGCUAGCAUUCAGAGAGGAGUAUUUUUCAGAGGAAAUGAUCUAAUAGCUUCAUAGUGAUAGAGAUAUAAUAUAUGUCUUUUUCAUUUGGGAAUGUGCUAAAAUGCUUUGUAUGAUUCUCUUUGUACUUCAUAUUUACAGUUACAGGCUGGUGGAAAUAUUUACACCCAGUGAAAAUCAUGGUGUGAGGGGAAUUUCUGCCUCAUUUUUAAGAGUAACAGCCUUGAACAUAAUUUUGUGCUUCUGUCUCCAGUGUCCUCUGCUGAACAGAAGGAGACUGCUCAGCUGUAAGUCCUGGCCCCAGAAUGCUGAAUCUGUAAUAAAAAACUAUUUGAAUCCAUGAAUAAGAACUGCUUUCUGUUAGUUAUCAUAACUUCUGAGUGGCCUUGAUAAACUGCAGAGAGAGAGUACUGUUUCCAAUUUGACAUAUAAGCAUUGUCCUUGCCAUAAGGUCUUUGUAUCACUAAGCCCUGAUUUUGAUUGCGUGUUUCCAGAUGCUAACAUAGGAGAGAUAUUAAUGAAGGAUAAUGUUAGAAGAAGUUCUGUAUACACAUAAUUCACUACUCUGUCAAAUGGUCUCUCUGUAAAUAUUUUGAAUUUU